CACGAAGGAGAUGAUGUAUUUUAUUGCGAGUACGAAUAUAACGAACGGUGGUGCAGAUUCAAGCGUAUUGACUACGAUAAUG
rnacentral:snoRNA from 1 species